AGAAGACUGCCAUUGUACGCAGGUAAAUGCUGGAACAUAAAUGGUAUUUAGUUUUAAUGAAGAUAUUCAUCCCUUUGAACUGUUUCACUUGCUGAAUGAAAACCCUAAUUUCUCAGCUUUCAUAUAACAUUGCAUGCCUGGUAUUUAAAGUUUUGGCACUGUGUGGUGGGCAAUGUCAGAUGAUAUGCUUUUUAUGUGUGUUUUAUAUAACAUUAGGCUGUGGCAAACAAUUGGACUUUACUGAUUGGUCUCCUGCGGUGGAUGUGAAAAACUAUUCUGCCCUUGUCCAAAACACAUGAUGGCUGUUUCUCAUCUUUGUUUAAUCUAUAGUUUCUCUCUCAAAUCUUUUAUGUCUAAAAAUAUGUAACAUCUAACAUGUGUAAUUUAUAACUAGCAGGGCGUGU
rnacentral:misc_RNA from 1 species